UACGGAGGGUGCAAGCGUUAUCCGGAUUCACUGGGUUUAAAGGGUGCGUAGGUGGGCAGGUAAGUCAGUGGUGAAAUCUCCGGGCUUAACCCGGAACGUGCCGUUGAUACUAUCUGUCUUGAAUAUCGUGGAGGUGAGCGGAAUAUGUCAUGUAGCGGUGAAAUGCUUAGAUAUGACAUAGAACAUCAAUUGCGAAGGCAGCUCGCUACACGGUUAUUGACACUGAGGCACGAAAGCGUGGGGAUCAAACAGG
rnacentral:rRNA from 1 species